CAGUAGCCGCGGUAAUACGUAGGGUGCAAGCGUUGUCCGGAAUUAUUGGGCGUAAAGAGCUCGUAGGCGGUUUGUCGCGUCUGCUGUGAAAUCCCGAGGCUCAACCUCGGGCUUGCAGUGGGUACGGGCAGACUAGAGUGCGGUAGGGGAGAUUGGAAUUCCUGGUGUAGCGGUGGAAUGCGCAGAUAUCAGGAGGAACACCGAUGGCGAAGGCAGAUCUCUGGGCCGUAACUGACGCUGAGGAGCGAAAGCGUGGGGAGCGAACAGGAUUAGAGACCCCCGUAGUCCCUGUCUCUUAUAA
rnacentral:rRNA from 1 species